UGUUAAAUACUGGUAGAAGGGCAAAAAAGGAAAGAAACAUCAAUGAAUAACAGCUGAUUGAGAAAAUUAACAUAUCAUGUGUAAAAAAAAUUAAACGUGUACCUACUACUACUACUAGAUACUAGACGAGUACUAGUACCUACAGUUUUUACUUCGUAAAUAGUAGAAGAACUUUUUUUAACCGAGCUCGUCCGGAGAAUCCAACUAAUGCAUUAUUUCUGCAACCAAACAGAAUUGCUGUGCAGUAUUGCUGUUCCUUUCUGAACGAAAUGUUAGCUUGUGUACAGACAUGCUUACUAUCUACACCUUAGGUUGAUAGAAGCAAGGAACGUGUCCUACUUGCUUUGCAUCUGCUUGAUCAUUAGGAUAGCAGAUACUGAGUUCAUCUCAACGAUAUACAUUUUUCCUACGUUUUUCUCUCAAUAACAGCCUGGAUUUGGGUAGUUUUAGUCAUAUUAUCGACAACUUUAGGCAAAAUUCAUUGCGAUUACGCCAUCUACAAGUGGACCAACUGUCAACUAUCGUGGUCGAAUCAAGUCGAAUGCUGUGUAAUAAUAAGAGCUAUCACAGAAUGGCAUGAAUCCUAAAUGGAGCGAUUAUUAUUAGAGACAACUAAAAAUCCUUUAUUACAUUUAAAAAAAUGGUAGAAGCCCAUGAAUGGCAUGUCCUUGACCCUUCUAACUUCGAACUAACUAACUUUCAUACAAAGCUGCCCUUUCCAAGUACUUCCUUUAAAUAUUCUUGCUCCCGAGAGUCAAAUCACUGAAUAUAUUGAUUAAUUAUCCGCACAUCCCAUCGGAUAUUUUCUACUGUAUUUUUUGGGAAUAGAUACAUUCUCAGGGAAAAGGGCCUCGACAACGUGGUUUUGCCCACAGAGUUAUCAAUCCAAACGUCCAGCCCCCUUUUCGCCGUUCUGAGUGCACUAAUUACCUACAGUUUAAUUAUAUAAUAUUUAAUAAACUAUAACGUGGUCGAGAUCUCGCGCAAUGUUUGCGAUUGUUUUGGUGACACCUGUGACCCAAAGUAGAAAAUAACACACGAUAACAUUUCUUACGUAAUCAUUUUGAAACAUACACAAUCAGCUAUUGAUACCAAAUCGUAAUGUCAAUGUCGGUCACAAUUAGGUCACUAAAGAUAAUGACCCUAAAGAUUCCAGUUGUUUUAUUUGCCCUUAGUAACACAGUCUUAAAUUUAACCUAUAGGUACUUUAAAAGACGUCAAGUUUAAAGUCUCUUUAUGAUAGAGAAUCGUUUGGAAAAGUAUUGCUUUUGUUCAAUUACGGUCACAUUAGGUAACUGAGGGCUUUCACUUAUUGACAGGUUUAGGAUGCAGGGAUUAUUGUAGGAUAUGUCUCUAGCAUGUGUCCCUAAAUGUUCUGCAGGCUGAUUAUGUAUCUCGACGUAUCACUUCUAACUGUGUAACGCAAAGCUAAAUGGAACACUAGAGUGUUUUUGCAAUUCCGAUUAUGUAAGACAAAAGACAGCCACAAUGCCUAGUGAUAUCGUUCUAGGCGCAAAAUUUUAUCGACAUUAUGCGACUAAAUAAAAUACACCCUUUCCUGGUACUACUUACUACGGGUGCGGCAUACUUUUGCACAUAUACGCAUUAUACUUGAUUUUGCUGUUUGUCUGUGGUGAAGUGAAGUGCCAUAGUUUCUUUGUUGGUAAACAAAGCCGUAUUAAAAUAUUAAUAAAAAAAUUGGUUUCGUUGGAUCAAAGUACUUGCUACUGCUAGUUUUUUGUUUUCAAUAGAAGUAAUUAAUUAAUCAUUUUAUCGUAUACAUUUUUAUUAGUGUUAAUAGUUAAUUUAUCAAAGUAAACGGCCACUUUUACAUAAAACAUUAUCUACACGAAAGUUAUUCAAAGUUUUAUCGUCUGCCUAUGAUUAAUUUAAUGGUCGUUGUGAUAAUAUGUAAAGUAUAUUUUAUAGUGUUUUGUAUAUUAAAGUUUAUCGCUUGGAACUAAAGAUGUCCGGGAAACUCAAUGAUCGCCAAUUGGAACUCUAAUUGGAGAUUGCAGAGUGCCACCCAAACUUGGCGAUGGGUUGUUUUGGAGGGCCUUUGGAAAGUCAGGCUACUAAAUAAACCUUCCGUGUUCGCGUCUGCCAGUGGCGUUGUAUCAACAUGAAGAUGUGGGCUCUAAACUUUGAGUGCCAGGGACUGACUAUGGAAGUCUCCAUGUCGCUGGUCACCAUUGAGGUGCAAAACACCUUGAAAAAAUUGGUGAUUCUGAAUCCUUCAUCUCUAUGAACGAUUCAUGAAGAAAGAAUUAAACAAACAUUUAAUGAACAGAUUUUUUAUAAGAUUAUUAUCAAUAAUGACAUUGCAUAUGAGAGAAAAUUGUCAAAUAUAAUUUCAUUUUAAUUUAAUAUAGUUAAUUAUGACAUCACUGUAUAUAAAGAAUAUGAUUAUUAUCAUUUGGUUAAUUUCAGUAUUACAUAGUAUUAGAUAAAAAUUUUAUUGUAAAAUUGCACAUCAAAAUAUGUUUUUUUUAUCUAUUAUUAGGAGGAAAUAUUAUUUAACUAUUAUUAUUAUCCCUAAUAGCCCAGUGAAUGUGACUUCUGCCUACAAUUCCGGAGGGUGUGGGUUCGAACCCGUUCCGGGGCACGCACCUCCAACUUUUCAGUUGUGUGCAUUUUAAGAAACUAAAUAUCACGUGUCUCAAACAGUGAAGGAAAACAUCGUGAGGAAACCUGCAUACCAGAGAAUUCUCUUAAUUCUCUGCAUAUGUGAUGUCUGCCAAUGUAAUCCAAAUAUGCUGGCCCAUAUUCGGCUCCUGUCAGAAUGAGAGGGGUUAGGCAUUGGCCUUCCCUUACCUUAUCAGCCGAUAGACGUCCACUGCUGGACAUAGGCCUCUUACAUGGACCUCCAAGCACAACGACCUUGAGCCGCGAACAUCCAAACAACCGACCAACCACGCUUUCCAGUGCGGGGUCUCCCGAGUGCGGGUAGGCACUAACCCCUCUUACUGGGGGAGACUCGAGCUCAGCAGUGAGCCGAAUAUGUGUUUAUAAUGAUGAUGAUGAUGAUUAUUUAAGUAAUUGUAAAAGAAAAAAUUGAAUACUACAUUAGUUGUUUAUCUAUACAAUUCAAUAAUUUUAAGAACAAAACAUGUGCCUACCACAUUGUAGGAAAUAAAUAAAUAAUGAUUUGAUUAAAAACAA